CUUGAACAAACAUAGUUGAUAGGUCCUUAAUUUCUUCUAUAACAACCACUAUAGGGUCAAAUUUUUCUGUCAAACUAAUCAUAAUUUUAUCAACAAUUCUGCGAUCAUCUAUUGUAUCUCCAUGUGACUUCAUUUGAUUCACCAAUUCAGAGAGUCUAUUAAAGUAUUCAUUCAAACUCUCACUCUCUUUCAUUCUUUCAUUUUCAUAGUCUCUCU
rnacentral:lncRNA from 1 species